rnacentral:lncRNA from 1 species
AAAGCAGGGACCUUUGUGCUUCAACUGCAGGAAGUGAAUUCUUCCAUCAACCAUGCGACACUGGGAGAGAACCCCAUGCUCUGGAUAGGAACAUAGCCCAGCCAACACCUUGACUGCAGCCCUGUGAGACCCUAAGCAGAGGACCUAGCUAAGCUGUGCCCAGAAUCCUGACCCAAGGAAACUGUGAGAUAAUAAAUAUCUGCUGUUUUAAGCUGCUAGGCUUGCGGUGAUUUCUUAUAAAGCAAUAGAGAGUUGAUAAUGAGAUAGACUGGAAGCCAGAGAAUGGGGACCGUUGGGAGAAAAAUGGGGUUGGUGCUGGUAUGUCUAACAAGUAUAUGACACGUUAUGGCUGGGUGCCGUGGCUCAUGCCCGUAAUCCCAGCACUUUGGGAGGCUGAAGCGGGCGGAUCACCUGAGGUCAGGAGAUUGAGGCCAGCCUGACCAAUAUGGUGAAACCUCGUCUCUACCAAAAAUGCAAAAAUGAGCCAGGCUGUGGUGACCAGCGCCUGUAAUCCCAGCUACUCAGGAGGCUAUGACAGGAGAAUCGCUUGAGCCUGGGAGGCGGAGGUUGUGGUGAGCCAAGAUCGUGCCACUGCACUCCAGUCUAGGCAAGUGAGACCCUGUCUCAAAAAAAAAAAAAAGGAAAGAAAACUGAACUCCCACCUGGGCAACAGAGUGAGACUCCGUCUCAAAAACAAAACAAAACAAAACAGAACAAAACAAACCAGGACAAAUACCUUAGAAAGGUCAGAAUACUUUGCAAAGUACUUACACUGUACAAGUCUGGAACAAACCGCGUGCUCACUCCUUACCUGGCAAGGAGUUCAAGGCCAUGCUUGGUCGGACAGCAGCUGAGGCAGGCAGUCACCCCCGAGUCUCCCUUCCAAGGUCACGCCCACCACUCAUGCCCGAUGGGACCACAAUGCAUGCCUUCAUGC